AUCACAGACUAUGCAGACAUCAAAAUCAAUCUGGUUGUCUCUGUUGUAGGGUUGGCUUAACAAAAAGAAGGGAACAGUUGCAGCCCAUUUCCUGCAUGGGCCUGUGUGUGCUGGCUCCUAAAGUACUGACUCCAGCUGAAGUCAACACCUUGUGAUUCAUGAACUUCCUCACCCUCACGUUGCACUGGAGGCCGCCUACUUCCUGUGCGACUGGAGCUGUAGUACUUUGUCCUGAUUUUCCUGACUCGACACAACGAGUCUGUUUAAAAAAAAAAAAAAAGGCUCAAAAAUAGAGUUGAAUGCAAAUUUGCAGCCUGCUUGAAAAAUUGAGAAAAUGAACCAGCUUUUUUCCCCCCCCAAAGCGGAUUAUAAUACCUCGAAGACAAUCAAGGACGCUCCAUCCACCCCCUCCUGACCUCCACUCCUCUCUUUUUUUCUGCCCCAAAGGCUUCCCCUCCCCGAGUCCCUCUGAGUGUGGAAUCUCCCUAAAUUCAACAGCUGCUCACAGGCAAAACAAACAGUAGAGCCGAAAAGCAGAGCACCGGGGUGUGCCAAUAAUUGUUAAAGAGGUGAUUACAUCAGUGACAGUAUAUCAGUAGCAGCCCAACAGGAAGAAGCAACGCAAAGUUGCUUUGAAAGAGUUAUAACGUUUAUUCAUUUUAACCCAAUUAAUUCUGGUUCACGGGAAAUUCAAACAAAUAUUGUGCAAUUAUGUUAUUAGUAAAAGCAGAUGACUGGUUUCUAUAGGUAUAACAGGAGUUGAGAUAAUUGAGACAAUUCUUUGUCUGUUUCUUAUAUUUUUGUAAAAAAAACAAAAAACCACA